rnacentral:rRNA from 1 species
CCUACGGGGGGCUGCAGUGGGGAAUAUUGCACAAUGGGGGAAACCCUGAUGCAGCAACGCCGCGUGAGCGAUGAAGGCCUUCGGGUCGUAAAGCUCUGUCCCAAGGGAAGAAUACUGACGGUACCUCAGGAGGAAGCCCCGGCUAACUACGUGCCAAUAGCCGCGGUAAUACGUAGGGGACUAGCGUUAUCCGGAAUUACUGGGCGUAAAGGGUGCGUAGGCGGCCCUUCAAGUCAGUGGUGAAAGGAUACGGCACAACCGUAGUAAGCCUUUGAAACUGUAGGGCUUGAGUGCAGGAGAGGAGAGUUGAAUUCCCAGUGUAGCGGUGAAAUGCGUAGAUAUUGGGAGGAACACCAGAUGCGAAGGGGGCUCUCUAGACUGUAACUGAAGCUGAGGAACGAAAGGGUGGGGAGAGAACAGGAUUAGAUACCCUGGUAGUC